rnacentral:rRNA from 1 species
GACAGAGGCCCCAAGCGUUAGGCGGAAUCACUGGGCGUUAAAGCGUGUGUAGGCGGAUCGUUAAGUGUCUUGUGAAUCCCACGGCUCACCCGUGGAACUGCUGGGCAUACUGGCGAUCUUGGGCCAACUAGGGGCAGCCGGAACAAGCGGUGGAGCGGUGAAAUGCGUAGAUAUCGCUUGGAACGCCGAAGGUGAAAACAGGCUGCCUGGGGUUGUGCCGACGCUGAGACACGAAAGCCAGGGGAGGCAAACAGG